AUGGACCACGCGUCCACUGCGGUUGUGAGCGCGCCGUCCGCGCCCACCUGACCGCUGCU
rnacentral:sRNA from 1 species